GCCUGUCUCAGUUCGGAUUGGAGGCUGAAACCCGCCUCCAUGAAGUUGGAUUCGCUAGUAAUCGCGCAUCAGCCAUGGCGCGGUGAAUACGUUCCCGGGCCUUGUACACACCGCCCGUCAAGCCAUGGGAGCCGGGGGUGCCUGAAGUUCGUGACCGCAAGGAGCGACCUAGGGCAAAACUGGUGACUGGGGCUAAGUCGUAACAAGGUAUC
rnacentral:rRNA from 1 species